rnacentral:rRNA from 1 species
CUGCUCACUGAUCUUUAAAGAGCUGCAGUAUAUUAACUGUACAAAGGUAGCAUAAUCAUUAGCCUUUUAAUUAAAGGCUGGUAUGAAAGGUUUUACGGGAAUUAACUGUCUCUAUUGUAAUAAUUUGAAUUUAAUUUUUUUGUGAAAAAGCAAAAAUUGAGUAAGGGGACAAGAAGACCCUAUUAAGCUUUAGUUUGAAUAAAUAUUUUAAAUUAUAAGUUUGAUUUAUUUGUUUGAGUUUUAUUUGGGGCGAAUAGUGUAAUUAACAACAUUAAUUUUUAAUAUUAUAAUUAAAAUUAUUUUUGAUCCAAAGGGUUUGAUUUAGAGAAUAAGUUACUAUAGGGAUAACAGCGUAAUAUUUUUUGAGAGUUCAUAUUGACAAAAGUGUUUGCGACCUCGAUGUUGGAUCAAGGUGUCUAAAUAAUGUAGAAGUUAUUGAUAGAUGGUCUGUUCGACCAUUAAUACCUUACGUGAUCUGAG